ACGCUCGACACCUACGGGGGGCAGCAGUCGGGAAUAUUGCGCAAUGGAGGAAACUCUGACGCAGUGACGCCGCGUGCAGGAAGAAGGUUUUCGGAUUGUAAACUGCUUUAGACAGGGAAGAAAAAGGACAGUACCUGUAGAAUAAGCUCCGGCUAACUACGUGCCAGUAGCCGCCGGUAAGUACUGAGCGGGCGUGGCGAAGGACG
rnacentral:rRNA from 1 species